UGGUCCGAAAUACACAUUCGCCCAGGGGAGACGGGUGGCCACGAGGACGGGUGGCCGAGCGGGAUGAUAGCUCCAGGCCAGGAGUGUGCUCACCGUGGGGAAACUGCCUCCGGAAGCCCAUGUUUUCCCCACACUAAUUAAAGAUAAGACAACACUGGAGAAACAUUUCCAUAUUUUAUUUCCCACCUAUCUACACACUUUUGGGAUACAAAGAUAGCCUCAGUAACUCCUGGUAAGUGGCGCAGAACAGUAAGCCAUAAGAACAUAAGAACAAGCCUGCUGGAUCAGACCAGAUCCAUCUGAAGAGUCCAGAGUCCAGACCAGAAGCCAAACUGUAAACCACACAGUGCGACGGAAAGGCAAUGUGGAUCAUCAUCAGCUCAGACUGAGGGGACCGGUAUCACCUGUUCCUGCUGGGAGAAGCCUGCACACUGAUGUUGCCAGCCUCUAGGUGGUGCCUGGAGAUCUCCUGGAAUUACAGCUGAUCACCCAGAGAUCAGUUUCCCUGGACAAAAUGGCAACUUUGGAGAACCAACUUAAUGGCAUCAUAACCCUGCUGAGAAUCCUGCCUCCCCAGUCUUGGCCCUACAAUUUCCAGGAAUUUCCCAGCCUAGAGCUACCUUUCUAUCUCCUUUGUAUGAGGCAUGCAAGUCAGCAGCAAGGACGAUAAUAGCGGGGAAAUGGAAGAGCAGUGAACCUCCAGAGAUAACAGAAUGGACGAACAGAAUAACGGAAAUUAUGGGACACGAUAAGUUAUCAUCUAUCAUAAAGCAAAGACCUUUAGAAAAAUAUUUACAAGAUUGGGAACCUUUAUUGAAUUACAUGAAACAAUUUAGCUGUGUAGAUAUGAUAAAGAUAUAUCAACAUUGAAAUAGAAAUAUUUCUGUCAUGUAUUUUAGUAAAUCUUCAGAUUAACAAUUUAAAAAAAUGUUUAGAAACAAUGCAUUAGGAAGGUAAUAGGAACUAUGAUUUAGAAGAAAAGAAGGAAAGGAGGGUUACAAAUAUAAGUGUUUUUCUUUUGAAGUUUUAAACAAUGAAUAUAAGCAAAGGAAUUAUUAAGUUAGUAUAUUCAAUGACAAGGUGAAGUCACGAACUUGGUUAUGAAAGUAAUGUAUAUUAAGUUGAAAGAAUUAUAUGCUAUUGACAUGGAGAAGAAGUAUAUUAGAAAAUAGUUUUUAUUGCUUGUUUGUUUGUUUGUUUGUUUUUAAAACUAAAACUUGAAUAAAGAUUAUUAUUAAAAAAAA